GACGAACGCUGGCGGUGUGCUUAACACAUGCAAGUCGAACGGAAAGGCACUGCCUUCGUGCGGUGCUCGAUUGGCGAACGGGUGCGUGACACGUGAGUAACCUGCCCUUGACUUUGGGGUAACUUCAGGAAGCUGGGGCUAAUACCGGACAGGAGCCCCCGCUGCAUGGUGGGGGUUGGAAAGUUUCGGCGGUUGGGGAUGGACUCGCGGCUUAUCAGCUUGUUGGUGGGGGAGUUGCUUACCAAGGCUUUGACGGGUAGCCGGCCUGGGAGGGUGAACGGGCCCCAUGGUACUGGGAUACGGCCCAGUCUCCUACGGGCGGCAGCAGUCGGGAAUAUUACACAAUGGGCGGGAGUCUGAUGCAGCAACGCCGCGUGCGGUAUGACGGCCUUCUGGUUGUAAACCGCUUUCGGCUGUUACGAAGCGUGAGUGACGGUAAUGGGUAAAGAAGCACCGGCUAACUACGUG
rnacentral:rRNA from 1 species